rnacentral:rRNA from 1 species
AACGAACGCUGGCGGCAGGCUUAACACAUGCAAGUCGAACGCCCCGCAAGGGGAGUGGCAGACGGGUGAGUAACGCGUGGGAAUCUACCCAGUUCUUCGGAACAACUGAGGGAAACUUCAGCUAAUACCGUAUACGCCCUACGGGGGAAAGAUUUAUCGGAAUUGGAUGAGCCCGCGGUGGAUUAGCUAGUUGGUGGGGUAAUGGCCUACCAAGGCGACGAUCCAUAGCUGGUCUGAGAGGAUGAUCAGCCACACUGGGACUGAGACACGGCCCAGACUCCUACGGGAGGCAGCAGUGGGGAAUAUUGGACAAUGGGCGAAAGCCUGAUCCAGCCAUGCCGCGUGAGUGAUGAAGGCCUUAGGGUUGUAAAGCUCUUUCAGUGGGGAAGAUAAUGACGGUACCCACAGAAGAAGCCCCGGCUAACUUCGUGCCAGCCGCCGCGGUAAAAC